GCAACACCAGCAAACACGGGAAUCAGGACUGCAAAUUCCCGGGGAAGGAAGUACCUAUGUAUGAAGUGAUCGCUGUCCACAAAUGGCAAGAUGAUGACCCAGAAGGUAUAAUAAGUGAAUAUUGAUAGGCUGAUGGAGGAAAGCAAAAAUCCAACUGCUUUGUCGGCUAACUCCAUCGCUGUCGGUUAUAACUCAACCCUCUGAUGAUGCCGCCGAUUCCCAA
rnacentral:misc_RNA from 1 species